rnacentral:rRNA from 1 species
UGGGGAAUUUUGGACAAUGGGCGAAAGCCUGAUCCAGCAAUGCCGCGUGUGUGAAGAAGGCCUUCGGGUUGUAAAGCACUUUUGUCCGGAAAGAAAUCCUUGGNUCUAAUACAGUCGGGGGAUGACGGUACCGGAAGAAUAAGCACCGGCUAACUACGUGCCAGCAGCCGCGGUAAUACGUAGGGUGCAAGCGUUAAUCGGAAUUACUGGGCGUAAAGCGUCGCAGGCGGUUUGCUAAGACCGAUGUGAAAUCCCCGGGCUCAACCUGGGAACUGCAAUUGGUGACUGGCAGGCUAGAGUAUGGCAGAGGGGGGUAGAAUUCCACGUGUAGCAGUGAAAAUGCGUAGAGAUGUGGAGGAAUACCGAU